rnacentral:rRNA from 1 species
GACGAACGCUGGCGGCGUGCCUAAUACAUGCAAGUAGAACGCUGAAGAGAGGAGCUAGCUCUUCUUGGAUGAGUUGCGAACGGGUGAGUAACGCGUAGGUAACCUGCCUGGUAGCGGGGGAUAACUAUUGGAAACGAUAGCUAAUACCGCAUAAAAUUGAUUAUUGCAUGAUAAUUAAUUGAAAGAUGCAAUUGCAUCACUACCAGAUGGACCUGCGUUGUAUUAGCUAGUUGGUGAGGUAACGGCUCACCAAGGCGACGAUACAUAGCCGACCUGAGAGGGUGAUCGGCCACACUGGGACUGAGACACGGCCCAGACUCCUACGGGAGGCAGCAGUAGGGAAUCUUCGGCAAUGGGGGGAACCCUGACCGAGCAACGCCGCGUGAGUGAAGAAGGUUUUCGGAUCGUAAAGCUCUGUUGUAAGAGAAGAACGGGUGUGAGAGUGGAAAGUUCACACUGUGACGGUAUCUACCAGAAAGGCC